rnacentral:rRNA from 1 species
GACGAACGCUGGCGGCGUGCUUAACACAUGCAAGUCGAACGGAAAGGCCCUGCUUUUGUGGGGUGCUCGAGUGGCGAACGGGUGAGUAACACGUGAGUAACCUGCCCUUGACUUUGGGAUAACUUCAGGAAACUGGGGCUAAUACCGGAUAGGAGCCCCUGCUGCAUGGUGGGGGUUGGAAAGUUUCGGCGGUUGGGGAUGGACUCGCGGCUUAUCAGCUUGUUGGUGGGGUAGUGGCUUACCAAGGCUUUGACGGGUAGCCGGCCUGAGAGGGUGACCGGCCACAUUGGGACUGAGAUACGGCCCAGACUCCUACGGGAGGCAGCAGUGGGGAAUAUUGCACAAUGGGCGGAAGCCUGAUGCAGCAACGCCGCGUGCGGGAUGACGGCCUUCGGGUUGUAAGCCGCUUUCGCCUGUGACGAAGCGUGAGUGACGGUAAUGGGUAAAGAAGCACCGGCUAACUACGUG